CCCGCCAGCUAGGGGAGCCGUGAACGGCAGUUGCACGGCUGAGAGUGGGAUAGUCCCAGACCCUGUGAACCUGACGCAGUUCGCACUGCCGUAGGGAAGCUGAGCCGCACCCGC
rnacentral:ncRNA from 2 species